rnacentral:rRNA from 1 species
UACGAAGGGGGCUAGCGUUGCUCGGAAUCACUGGGCGUUAAAGGGUGCGUAGGCGGGUCUUUAAGUCAGGGGUGAAAUCCUGGAGCUCAACUCCAGAACUGCCUUUGAUACUGAAGAUCUUGAGUUCGGGAGAGGUGAGUGGAACUGCGAGUGUAGAGGUGAAAUUCGUAGAUAUUCGCAAGAACACCAGUGGCGAAGGCGGCUCACUGGCCCGAUACUGACGCUGAGGUGCGAAAGCGUGGGGAGCAAACAGGG